rnacentral:rRNA from 1 species
CAGUAGCCGCGGGAAUACGGAGGGUGCAAGCGUUAAUCGGAAUUACUGGGCGUAAAGCGCACGCAGGCGGUUUGUUAAGUCAGAUGUGAAAUCCCCGAGCUUAACUUGGGAACUGCAUUUGAAACUGGCAAGCUAGAGUCUUGUAGAGGGGGGUAGAAUUCCAGGUGUAGCGGUGAAAUGCGUAGAGAUCGGGAGGAACAUCAGUGGCGAAGGCGGCCAUCUGGGACAACACUGACGCUGAGGCACGAAAGCGUGGGGAGCAAACAGGAUUAGAUACCCGUGUAGUCCCUGUCUCUUAUAC